rnacentral:rRNA from 1 species
CCGGUCCUACGGGGCGCAGCAGUCGAGAAUCAUUCACAAUGGGGGAAACCCUGAUCCAGCGACGCCGCGUGAGUGAAGAAGUAUUUCGGUAUGUAAAGCUCUGUCAGCAGGGAAGAAAGAAAUGACGGUACCUGACCAAGAAGCCCCGGCUAACUACGUGCCAGCAGCCGCGGUAAUACGUAGGGGGCAAGCGUUAUCCGGAAUUACUGGGUGUAAAGGGAGCGUAGACGGUGAUGCAAGUCUGGAGUGAAAGGCGGGGGCCCAACCCCCGGACUGCUCUGGAAACUGUGUAACUUGAGUGCAGG